rnacentral:misc_RNA from 1 species
UAAAACCUCGUGACACCUUCCAUAGAGUCAAACGACAACAUGGAGUCUGAUCAAUCUGCGACACCUUCCUCAAGAGACGGUUCGACGAAUAACAUUCAUCUUGGCCUUACGGACCCGAAAACCACAGCACCUACCCCAAUUGGCAAGAUAAAGACAUUUGCUCGCCUUGAUCGAAAAGAACGGUUCUUUCUGCUUGUGUCGACUAUCAACAUCUUGGUGGCGGUUGGACUGACCAUCUACAGUCUGGUAGUGGUCCUCAAAACUGACCCGGAGUCAUCAGAUUUCACCUUCACUAUACUUCUACUUAUCAAUGCUGGUUUCUGCAUCUUCUACGUCGUCCAUGGUUUGUUUCGUGAGCGUGUCUACGAGAUAUACGCACUGAUGGCGGCCAUGUUUGUUGUCACCAUGUACUGUGUGUUGGAGUUUGGUGUUAAUGAAGAAGGGAGAACAACCAUCAAACUGGUCCGUAUGAUCUUAGCAAUCGUCUUCACCCCGCCAAACUAUGCACUGGGCUACUUUGUUGCAAAGGCUUUUGGAUAUGUGAGGUUUGAAACAGUUGCAGCUUCAGCACACCUAAAUCAGCUCUACAGACAGGCAGACAUAUUUUCCUGUCUUUUAAAGUUUGACUGUCAGGCGUCGAUAUCCUUUAUGAUCCUGGUAUUGAAGAAUGGUACCGACAUCACGGUGCUGGAACAGGUCAAUCUGGGCCUGGGGAUACCAUACACACUGGUGUGGUCAGUACUUGGCUGGUUUGUGCUUCGCAGAGAACUGAAGAGGUGGACCUGGGUGCUUGCUGGGGCCGGUGUUGCCAAGCCUGCUUACUACGUGUAUAAACUUAUUAAAAUGUACGCACACUUGACGGAUGACACUGAUUCUUACAGCAUCACCAUCGUGUGGUCCCGCCUUGCUGCAGGAGCUAUUGCCCUGAUUUCCUGGUUCAUCCUGAUAGCUCAUCUCGACAUUGUACAACGAAACUUUGGAAAAGGACUCAAAGAAAAGAUAUCAAAAAAAUGAUGAUUCAGAACGUCUACAUGUACUUGUUGACAGGACGAAGGUCAAGUUGGCAAUGAUUCAAGUUUAACAAAUUCCACGAAUCCAGUUCCCAUGGCAAUAUAUUACAAGCUUUAUAAAAACAAGCAGGUGUGUGAUGUAGAUGAUGGUGCCCAUGUUGCAAGUGGCCGCUACUUAGUUUGCAAGCCUCCUGCUAUCCUGUUAUUUUAUUAUUGUGUAAGAAUGAUCUUGAAAUAUAUCGUUUCAUAAAUACUGUCGUGAUAUGCUACGUGUCUGUGAAUUUCAUUUGUGACCAACCAUGCGAUAAGGGACCUUAUGGGUGAAAAAACUCAUUUGGACUUUUCUUUUAAAACUAUAGCAUUUUCUGAAGACAAGUGUACAAUUCACACGCUUCAAUUAAUAUAUAUUACAGAGAUACAUGACAUCACACAUGGCGAUCUUCACUGAAGUAAGUUGACGUCAAACGUCUCAUGACAUCAUAUUAAUGUAGCACAAUUGUAUCCAAGCACCCCUAAGGUCCCAUAUCUCCUGCAGUGUCACAUUUUAUAAUCUUGUUUGUUCAUGUUUCUUAAGCUAUGUACAAUUACUGUGUUUUGCUUGAUCGACAUGCGGUUAUUCAUUUAUGUUUUGUGUACAAUGUUAAAGAUUUCGCAAAAGAACUUUUGUCAUUCCUGUUUUUUCUGAUACAUUUUAACAACCAUACAUGUACAAAAUAACAAUGUUCUGCAGAUACUAUUUUAAUAUAUGUCAUCAAAUGUUGUUUUAUGAAUACGAGAAUGUCCAAAUAUGUAACUGUUUCUUAGUUUCCGUGGCUUUCAUUGAGUAUCAAAGUAUUGAUACUUCAUGAAGCAACACGAUCCAACCACUCAGAUAUCACUAUUAUGUAUCGAAACCCUGUGAAGAUCUGGGUCAGAAUUGAUCUUCAGCAGCCGCUGUCUGUCCCCUGUGAAGAUCUGGGAAAGAAUUGGUAUUCAUAACCCAUGCUUGUAAAAGGCGACCAACAGGAUCGGGUGGUCAGGCUCGCUGAUACUGUUGAAGCUUGUCAGGGUAUCUCAAUUGUGUAGAUCGAUGUUCAAGAUGUAAGUCACUUGAUUGUUUGGUACAGACUCGAUUAUCUACAGACCGCCGUCAUACGUCUGGCAUAUUUCUGUAGUGUGGUGUAGAACAACAAAGAAACAAACAUGUCUUGAAACUAAACUAUUGAAUUGCUUUCAUUUAAAUACUACCUUUUUGUCAACAUGGGUACUAUGCUAACUAAGAAUUAAAAAGAGCCUGGAUCAAUAGAUAAUCCUUUUAACCAGAAACAACAUUCACAAAACUUAUGACAUGUUGUCUGGAAUACCUGUCUCAUGACAAUCAGUGUAAGGGCAAUGAGACUCAAUAAGAUGAUGUAGGUAGUAGAUGAUGUAGUCAGUAGAUGGUGUAGGUAGUAGAUGAUGAAGGCAGUAGAUGAUGCGCUAAGCUGCUCAAUAAUCAGGUAUUGUAACCAUAAUCCACUACCAACGACCCCUGAUUGGGAUCGAUAAGUCCAUGAACGUCAUGUGUGUUGGCAUAGCUAGUACAUAGCAUACUAGACGAAUCUGUGUUAGGAUGGCAGGUAUAUAGCAUACUAGAAGAGUCUGUAUAGCUAGUACAUAGCAUACUAGAAGAAUCUGUGUUGGUAUGGCAGGUAUAUAGCAUGCUGGAAGAAUCUGUGUUAGGAUGGCAGGUAUAUGGCAUAAUAGAAGAGUCUGUAUUGGCAUAGCUAGUACAUAGCAUACUAGAAGAAUCUGUGUUGGCAUGGCAGGUAUAUAGCAUGCUGGAAGAAUCUGUGUUAGGAUGGCAGGUAUAUAGCAUACUAGAAGAGUCUGUAUUGGCAUGGCAGGUAUAUAGCAUAAUAGAAGAAUAUGUGUUGGCAUGGCAGGUAUAUAGCAUACUAGAAGAGUCUGUGUUAGGAUGACAGGUAUAUAGCAUACUAGAAGAGUCUGUGUUAGGAUGGCAGGUAUAUGGCAUACUAGAAGAGUCUGUAUUGGCAUGGCAGGUAUAUAGCAUACUUGAAGAGUCUGUAUUGGCAUGGCAGGUAUAUAGCAUACUAGAAGAGUCUAUGUUGUAUGACAGGUAUAUCGCAUACUAGAAGAGUCUGUAUUGGCAUGGCAGGUAUAUAGCAUACUAGAAGAGUCUAUGUUGUAUGACAGGUAUAUCGCAUACUAGAAGAGUCUGUAUUGGCAUGGCAGGUAUAUAGCAUACUAGAAGAGUCUAUGUUGUAUGACAGGUAUAUCGCAUGCUAAAAGAGUCUGUAUUGGCAUGGCAGGUAUAUAGCAUACUAGAAGAAUCUGUGUUAGGAUGACAGGUAUAUAGCAUACUAGAAGAAUAUGUGUUGGCAUGGCAGGUAUAUAGCAUACUAGAACAAUCUGUGUUAGGAUGACAGGUAUAUAGCAUACUAGAAGAGUCUGUAUUGGCAUGGCAGGUAUAUAGCAUACUUGAAGAGUCUGUGUUAGGAUGACAGGUAUAUGGCAUACUAGAAGAGUCUGUAUUGGCAUUGCAGGUAUAUAGCAUACUAGAAGAAUCUGUGUUAGGAUGACAGGUAUAUGGCAUACUAGAAGAGUCUGUAUUGGCAUGGCAGGUAUAUAGCAUACUUGAAGAGUCUGUAUUGGCAUGGCAGGUAUAUAGCAUACUAGAAGAGUCUAUGUUGUAUGACAGGUAUAUCGCAUACUAGAAGAGUCUGUAUUGGCAUGGCAGGUAUAUAGCAUACUAGAAGAGUCUAUGUUGUAUGACAGGUAUAUCGCAUACUAGAAGAGUCUGUAUUGGCAUGGCAGGUAUAUAGCAUACUAGAAGAGUCUAUGUUGUAUGACAGGUAUAUCGCAUACUAGAAGAGUCUGUAUUGGCAUGGCAGGUAUAUAGCAUACUAGAAGAGUCUAUGUUGUAUGACAGGUAUAUCGCAUACUAGAAGAGUCUGUAUUGGCAUGGCAGGUAUAUAGCAUACUAGAAGAGUCUAUGUUGUAUGACAGGUAUAUCGCAUACUAGAAGAGUCUGUAUUGGCAUGGCAGGUAUAUAGCAUACUAGAAGAGUCUAUGUUAGGAUGACAGGUAUAUAGCAUACUAGAAGAAUAUGUGUUGGCAUGGCAGGUAUAUAGCAUACUAGAAGAAUCUGUGUUAGGAUGACAGGUAUAUAGCAUACUAGAAGAGUCUGUGUUAGGAUGGCAGGUAUAUAGCAUACUAGAAGAGUCCAUGUUGGCAUGGCAGGUAUAUAGCAUACUAGAAGCGUCUGUGUUAGGAUCACAGGUAUAUAGCAUACUAGAAGAGUCUGUAUUGGCAUGGCAGGUAUAUAGCAUACUAGAAGAGUCUGUGUUAGGAUGGCAGGUAUUAGCAUACUAGAAGAGUCUGUAUUGGCAUUGCAGGCAUAUAGCAUGCUGGAAGAGUCUGUGUUAGGAUGGCAGGUAUAUAGCAUACUAGAAGAGUCUGUAUUGACAUUGCAGGUAUAUAGCAUACUAGAAGAGUCUGUGUUAGGAUGGCAGGUAUAUGGCAUACUAGAAGAGUCUGUAUUGGCAUUGCAGGUAUAUAGCAUACUAGAAGAGUCUGUGUUAGGAUGGCAGGUAUAUGGCAUACUAGAAGAGUCUGUAUUGGCAUUGCAGGUAUAUAGCAUACUAGAAGAGUCUGUGUUAGGAUGGCAGGUAUAUGGCAUACUAGAAGAGUCUGUAUUGGCAUGGCAGGUAUAUAGCAUACUAGAAGAAUCUGUGUUAGGAUGACAGGUAUAUAGCAUACUAGAAGAGUCUGUGUUAGGAUGGCAGGUAUAAAGCAUACCAGAAGAGUCCAUGUUGGCUUGGCAGGUAUAUAGCAUACUAGAAGAAUCUGUGUUAGGAUGACAGGUAUAUAGCAUACUAGAAGAGUCUGUGUUAGGAUGGCAGGUAUAUAGCAUACUAGAAGAGUCCAUGUUGGCAUGGCAGGUAUAUAGCAUACUAGAAGAAUCUGUGUUAGGAUGGCAGGUAUAUAGCAUACUAGAAGCGUCUGUGUUAGGAUCACAGGUAUAUAGCAUACUAGAAGAGUCUGUGUUAGGAUGGCAGGUAUAUGGCAUACUAGAAGAGUCUGUAUUGGCAUUGCAGGUAUAUAGCAUGCUGGAAGAGUCUGUAUUGGCAUGGCAGGUAUAUAGCAUACUAGAAGAGUCUGUGUUAGGAUGGCAGGUAUAUGGCAUACUAGAAGAGUCUGUAUUGGCAUUGCAGGUAUAUAGCAUGCCGGAAGAGUCUGCGUUGGCAUGACAGGUAUAUAGCAUAGCGUAUCCCCCUUUAAGGGUCUUGUGUCGUGCUGUGUAAAUAUGAAACAACAUACAUCAACAUAUUUCAGUAUGGUGAUAAAUGUCAAAAGUUUAUUUCAAACAUUCAACAGUGUUUAUCUGGCAAGAUAUGACAUCUUUUAAUAAUUCACAAAAUGGUUUUGUAAUGUUAAUUUGUAUAGAAUUAUGUAUAUUGUAUUUUUCAAAGUGUGUGUGUACAUGUAUUAGUUAAAGCUAGAACUUCAAAAUGGUGCGUUGUCAAGUCAUGAAACUAAACAAGACAUGUUAAAGCAAAGGUAUCAAUUAAAUGCUGUCAAUGUCCAUCUGGGGAUGCUUGCCUUCACUGGAAUGGAAAAGUUUUAUCAACAAUGUUGUGAAUGUCAUUGUUGCAAAAUGAAUUGUAAUUGCUUGUGCAAAAUUUCAAUUAUGAUAGGUUUCUAUUAUGAAAUAAAGUAUUACUUUUAAA